AAUUUUGGACAAUGGGCGCAAGCCUGAUCCAGCCAUGCCGCGUGAGUGAAGAAGGCCUUCUGGUUGUAAAGAUCUUUCGGACGGAAAGAAAUCGCGCAGGCUAAUACCCUGCGCGGUCGAAGGUACCGUCAUAAGAAGUACCGACCAAGUACGUGUCAGCAGCCGCGGUAAUAAGUAGGGUGCGUGCGUUAAUCGGAAUUACUGGGCGUAAAGCGUGCGCAGGCGGUUGAUUAAGACAGGCGUGAAAUCCCCGGGCUUAACCUGGGAACUGCGCUUGUGACUGGUCAGCUAGAGUACGGCAGAGGGGGGUGGAAUUCCACGUGUAGCAGUGAGAUGCGUAGAGAUGUGGAGGAACACCGAUGGCGAAGGCAGCCCCCUGGGCCGAUACUGACGCUCAUGCACGAAAGCGUGGGUAGCAAACAGG
rnacentral:rRNA from 1 species